UCGUACGCCCCGGGGGCAUCGCCGGGGCGUGGCGCACGGCUCAGUAACACGUAGCUAACCUACCCUCGGGACGGGGAUAACCCCGGGAAACUGGGGCUAAUCCCCGAUAGGCGAGGGCACCUGGAAUGGGCCCUCGCCGAAAGGCCCACGGGCCGAUCCUGCCCGUGGGCGCCCGAGGAUGGGGCUGCGGCCCAUCAGGUAGUUGGCGGGGUAACGGCCCGCCAAGCCGAUWACGGGUAGGGGCCGUGAGAGCGGGMGCCCCGAGAUGGGYACUGAGACAAGGGCCCAKGCCCUACGGGGCGCA
rnacentral:rRNA from 1 species